GGGAUCCAAUCUGGCUUUGAAGACAUCAUGCAGAGCCUCUGCUCUGGAGAUGGGAACCUGCAGACAAAUGCCUCCUUAUCUCAAUCCUCUGAAAACAGUUUGACCAGGGAGACAGCGUUCACUCAUGAAUUUAAGAAAAAAAAAAUCCCUGAUCCCUACUUUUUGCCAACUUCAAUGCUGAUUUCUAGUGGUACCAAGAAAAAUGCAACUGAGCCUCCAUCCUCAAGGGGCUCACAGUCUUGUGUGGAGAUAAAAAAUGCAGGCCUGCUGCAGAUCCAAGUCCUGUGACCGGGGUCCUGCCCAAGGGUCCUGCUUCCCUAGGCAUCCCAGAAGUUCAGCCUGCAUCUCGACCAGAGCCUGAGAGUAGAC
rnacentral:lncRNA from 10 species